UUAAUGUUAAAAAAUGUCUAUUGUAAUAAUUUGUAUCAAUUAAAGUAAUUCAUAUAAAAACUAAUUUGUUACCAUAUUGCAAACCUUGCUUUUUACCACGUGCUUUGUUUAAAUUUGAAAUAAAUUUAAGAAAAUACAUUCAUAAUUAAGCUCACUUUUAUUGCGUGUUAAAAUUUAGAUGGGUUUGCAUCUAAAAAAAGCAGAACAACUACAAAUAAUGUUUUUUUUUUAACUAAUAGAAAUACUUACUGCUUCAGAAACUAAGCAGCACAACUUCUUUUGUAAUUACCUUAGGAAGUGGUACAUUUCCAAAAGGAAUAAAUACAUUCCAGAAGAAGGCCAACACCAGAAAUUUUCUUGCAGGAACAUUUAACAGCUUCUAUCCUACUUUCAGCUCUGUGGCUAUGAAGGCAAGAUUUUAAAUUAAAUUAGGGGCCAACAUCUUUGAUUCUCCAGAAUUACUUUAGAACAAAAUUUGAAAUUAAGAAAGGGUAUAUUGAAAAACAUGAACGGAACCUUCACCAUCCUUUGUCUCUGGUCUUUGCCACCUUAGAUGUUUCAAUGUAGUCAUGAACAUGAUAAAAGCAAUCACUUGAUAACGGAGAAUGUCCCAGUAAUGUUUGCCAGACGACUCAGCGACCAUGCAUUACGCUCUGUUAGGCAUGCUUGCCUAUGUUGCAGGUGUUUUUGUUGUGAUGUAUGAGGCAGUGGAAAUAUUCUACCCACCUGAAGACGACAAGACAGAAAGAGAAGCUGAGGAAAGCGGAUCUUUGCCAUAGAGCGCAGCAGCAUUGUGACAAUACAAUUUCAGCAUUACGACAGCAUAUUUCCUCAAAUAUUCUGUGAUGUUUUGCAGUGGAAUCAUUUCAGAAAUACUGAAAUGCUUACAAUUUCUUAUAGAACUGCCUCUAUCCAUCUUGGACAUUAUAUUUAAAUUCAGUUUCUGUUAAAAAAAAGGCGAGAUUGUUCAGUGAUCUGAUAAAUGUUCUCGUAUAGUGUUAAAUCAACAACAGAAAUAGAAAGUGUUGAAAGCACUUGUAAUGAAAAUUAAUGACAAACACACGAUGUUUCAUUAACUUAUCAGGAAAUAAUUUAAUUGUUGUGUUCCUUUAUUAAAUAUGUUUUUAUGUCGUAAAUAAAAUUUUUUAUGGAA